UACGAAGGGGGCUAGCGUUGUUCGGAAUUACUGGGCGUAAAGCGCGCGCAGGCGGUCAAUUAAGUCUGGUGUUUAAGCCCGGGGCUCAACCCCGGUUCGCAUCGGAAACUGGAUGACUUGAGUGUAGGAGAGGAAAGUGGAAUUCCACGUGUAGCGGUGAAGUGCGUAGAGAUGUGGAGGAACACCGAUGGCGAAGGCAAUCCCCUGGACCUGUACUGACGCUCAUGCACGAAAGCGUGGGGAGCAAACAGG
rnacentral:rRNA from 1 species